UUAUCGCAAUUCAUGUUGCACGGAUUGUGCGCAGUCAUUUGGCGAAAGGCAGCGCAGCGAUGACUGGCCUCUCUGAUACAACCGAUCGACCCAUGACGAGCCGUUGGUCCCCACAUCCCGGGCGAGCAUGCAAGCCUUCAACAGGCGCUUCUGCACGGCUGCGAUCGGCGAAAGGGCGUCCGCGCUCAGGCAGCAUUUUAUUUUCCGCUCCCACACUGUGCCUUAAGCGCCAGUUACCGGACUCCGGGUUCACUGCUUUCGGUGAUUCUGUGCUGGAUACAAACGUAACUUUACGGCCACAUGACAUAUCGCAUAGAAGUUGUUGUUUUUCAGUAGCAGAGUCGGAAUUUGUGCUCCAGUGAUAUUUCAUUUUCCCGUGGUGCAGCAAAAAAAUGCGUUAACGCAUUAAUAAAAGGGAGAGGACCCAAGUGCAGGAACAAGAAGUUUGUUCCCAGAACCGUGACCCCAAACACGUGGAUGAACCAAAUCACAAGAAAACCAGUGAGUAAUCAUCGGGGUCUGUCUGAUUGCCCUCUUGAGUCUUGAAAGGGACCCCUCCCUAGGGCACAAUGCUCCGGAACCCCCUGGAACUGGGGGCAGAGUGCAACAAGGACAUGCAAAAGGACACCCAGGGAGAAUGUCAGUUUUAU